rnacentral:rRNA from 1 species
UACGUAGGGGGCAAGCGUUAUCCGGAUUUACUGGGUGUAAAGGGAGCGUAGACGGCGAUGCAAGUCUGGAGUGAAAGGCGGGGGCCCAACCCCCGGACUGCUCUGGAAACUAUGUUACUAGAGUGCAGGAGAGGUAAGCGGAAUUCCUAGUGUAGCGGUGAAAUGCGUAGAUAUUAGGAGGAACACCAGUGGCGAAGGCGGCUUACUGGACUGUAACUGACGUUGAGGCUCGAAAGCGUGGGGAGCAAACAGG